UGGACGAAGUACACAUAAACUCUGAAUAUUGCGCAUAACCUUAAGUUUCAGUAACCUAUUAUUAAUUUAUAUGCAAAAUAGUUAAUCUUUUUCACCAACAACGAUAUUAUACUAAGUUUGGAUCUGAAUAAUGAUACAUCAACUGCACUAGUUACUUUUUCUAAUACGUUUAUAAUCGCCCAUGAAAGUUUAUUCUGAUGGCAAAGCAAGUAUGUAGUAGUAUCAAUAAGCUUAAGUUUCAGAUAAAAUCUACGUGGCACCGGAGGAAAAUGGGUUCCAAAUAUGUAGUAAUAUCAAUAA
rnacentral:lncRNA from 1 species